rnacentral:rRNA from 1 species
AUGAUAGGCUCUAAGGUGCCUGUGGAGCUCGUUAGCGGCGUGAUCUUGAACCAAGGCAACAUAUACAUCUGGGAGACAACGCCGCCGUCAGUGCUGAAGCUAUACCGGGAGCAGUUCCAGGAGGACAUGUCAUUGUUCCUCAAGCUACGCCACACUGAGCUCGUGGCCAUCGGCCAGAUGAAGGAGAAGACGGAUUCCUUCAACCUGCCGCUGUACGCGCCUUCCAUCGACGAAGUGGGGGCGGUAAUCGAGCAGAGCGUACUGUUUGACGUCAACCAUAUCCAGCUCUUCGACUCCAAUUGGGAUCCUCAAGAUGACUCGGACGGCGAUGUGCUGCUCGACAGCGCCAAGAGCGGCGUGAACGUCGCCAGGACUUCGCGGGCCAUCAUCGGGCCCAUGCUUGCGCGUCAUUUCUCUUUGAGAUGUACACGCAGAAUGUCGCGAACCACCACGAGAAAGUGA